UGAAUUCGACAUAUAAUGAAUUGUUGAAAACAUAAUGAUUCCUACACUAAUAUGAUCUUGAGGCAUGCCCUGCAUGUACUGUGCGAGUACAUUGUAAAUAAUAUCUGAUAAGAUGGGCCAAAAAUAGCGGCACAGCGCGCAAAAUGCGCGGCGUGACCGCCGAAAUUUUAUACUUUAGACAUUAACAUUUCAAUCGGCUUUAGCGCUCAGCAUAUCUUCAUUGAGUAGACAUUAGAAUUUCAGUUCGUUGGAAUCGAAGUUCAGUUCACACCAAUCUAUUUCGUCGUACCUGGACUGCAUGCCGAGUAACUCCUUUUUUAUUGUGGAUUUCACAAGGUUCGUUGAUGUAGAGAAGUUGAUAUUGCUAGCAGUGUUUCUACAAUCGUUCCACAUUUUUGUCGAUUGAUAUAUGAAGGAGGUGGAUGGGGUUGGAGUGAUGAAUCGAUCAGCACGUCUUGAUGAUCUGUUAAAUAGAUUUAGGAGUGGGACUGGGGAUUCUAAUUUAUUGAUUUUGAACAUUUCCAAUAAACAUGUGUGUUUGAACAAACUGUGUAUGGUCAAUUCUGCUAGAGUCCAAGUUUCUAUCAAAGAUUUGGAAGAUGGGUGAGUGGUGUGAUAUACGGUCAGUCAGUAUUCCAGAAGCUACUAUACUCUCUACGUCGUAACUACACUUGGGGAGACUGUCAAGGAUGUCAGAGAGUUCAGAUAGUGCAACAUUGACAUUACCACUUGGAGGACGGUACAUUACACCAACUGUUACUGGGGAAGUUGUACUACUUACGGCCACAAAAAGAGUUUCUAAAUGUUCAGUGAUAUGGGAUACAUUGCCGUUUACUCUGGCACUAAGAGUGUCACAAACAUAGAGAGCCACUCCAGUGCCCUUUUUUUUAUCUGGUAUUGUGUUUUGGUAGAAACUGUUGUAUCCAGUUAAUUGAUACAAACUGCUGGAUUCAGGACCUUCAUUUGUUUCCGCUAAGGCUAUGAUCGAGAAUUUCUUGGUGAGCCUAUGGGAUUCAAUAGCGAAAGUGUCGAAAUUUGACUUAUUGCCGUCGAUGUUUUGGAAGAGAAGCGAUGAAAAUUCAUUCAUUUGAUUAUCUAGUGCUUUGUUGAAUUCCUUGACAUUGUACGAUACGCAGUUAUUUAGUAUUUGAUCUACUUUUAUGAUAGUGUCAUCCACUUCACUACUUUCAAUAUCACUUAAAUUAGUGCAUGCAAGUCGAAAUGGAUUGUAACGAAUAACUGCUAAAUGUACGCACUUGGGACAGUAAAAAUCGUCAGAUAAUGUGUCAUUGUUAAUGGAUUUGGUAUAGCACUUAUGGUGCAUUGGGCAGUCGCAUUCACAGCAUUCAACAAUGAAUUGUCCUACGUUAAUGAACUUCGCACAGACUAGGCAUACCUCUUUACUCAGGGGAGUCAGAAUGGCUGGUAACCAUCCUGGUGUCGAGACUCAGCAGCAGUAGUAGAACCCGUCCCACUCAACACGUUCCGAUAUGAGCGUCCAUCAACCUCGUCUGUUCUCCUUUUCCUUCUAUCAACUCCUCCAUUCAUUCUAAGAAGCACUGUGUUACGAAUCAAAGUGCCUAGUUUAGCUGUACCCCUCCAGUUAAGGUGGAGAUAAUCUGGUCGCUGGUCUCGGCCGAUGUUUCUGGAGAACUGUUGGCUAAGAAGCCCAGCAUCAUCACAGAACCCACCGAACCCAUCAACGUAAGUCACACCAAAAUUUGAAGGGAUCAGCUCUGUCAGAAUAAGGCGGUUAAAGCAAACAACUUUUCUAUUCAGUUCAGCAAGCUUUGUAGGCAGGGCUGGACAAACAUAUACAUGUGCCUUAGGGUUAAUAGCAUGAAUUUUCUCAA